UAAAAAAGAAGACGUGGUAUGAUUGCCAAUGAGACAACUAUCCACAAAAGACCAAAAUGACACAGACAUUAACAACUAUAGGUCACCGUACGGCCUUCAACAAUGAGCAAAGCCCAUACCGCAUAGUGAGCUAUAAAAGGCCCCGAUAAGACAAUGUAAAACAAUUCAAACAAGAAAACUAACGGCCUUAUUUAUGUAAAAAAAUGAACGAAAAACAAAUAUGUAACACAUAAACAAACGACGACCACUGAAUUACAGGCUCCUGACUUGGGACAAGCACAUACAUAAAUAAUGUGGCGGGGUUAAACAUGUUAAUGGGAUCCCAACCCUCCCCUAACCUGGGACAGUGGUAUAACAGUACAACAUAAGAACGAACUAUAAAAAUCAGUUGAAAAAGGCUUAACUCAUCAGAUGGACAAAAAUACAAGUGGACAUGGCCCGGUACUUAUACAUCCCGACACAAAAAGACACAAUGAACAGAUCUGAGAGUACUCGCAGUUAUCUGACUGCUAGUUCAAAG
rnacentral:lncRNA from 1 species